AGUGAACGCUGGCGGUAGGCCUAACACAUGCAAGUCGAACGGCAGCACAGUAAGAGCUUGCUCUUACGGGUGGCGAGUGGCGGACGGGUGAGGAAUACAUCGGAAUCUACUUUUUCGUGGGGGAUAACGUAGGGAAACUUACGCUAAUACCGCAUACGACCUACGGGUGAAAGCAGGGGAUCUUCGGACCUUGCGCGAUUGAAUGAGCCGAUGUCGGAUUAGCUAGUUGGCGGGGUAAAGGCCCACCAAGGCGACGAUCCGUAGCUGGUCUGAGAGGGUGAUCAGCCACACUGGAACUGAGACACGGCCCAGACUCCUACGGGAGGCAGCAGUGGGGAAUAUUGGACAAUGGGCGCAAGCCUGAUCCAGCCAUACCGCGUGGGUGAAGAAGGCCUUCGGGUUGUAAAGCCCUUUUGUUGGGAAAGAAAAGCAGCAGGUUAAUACCCCGCUGUUCUGACGGUACCCAAAGAAUAAGCACCGGCUAACUUCGUG
rnacentral:rRNA from 1 species